rnacentral:rRNA from 1 species
ACGCUCGACACCUACGGGAGCAGCAGUCGGGAAUAUUGCGCAAUGGAGGAAACUCUGACGCAGUGACGCCGCGUAUAGGAAGAAGGUUUUCGGAUUGUAAACUAUUGUCGUUAGGGAAGAUACAAGACAGUACCUAAGGAGGAAGCACCGGCUAACUAUGUGCCGGCAGCCGCGGUUAAUCUGAGCGGGCUGGCAAGGC